CAGCAGCCGCGGUAAGACAGAGGAUGCAAGCGUUAUCCGGAAUGAUUGGGCGUAAAGCGUCUGUAGGUGGCUUUUCAAGUCCGCCGUCAAAUCCCAGGGCUCAACCCUGGACAGGCGGUGGAAACUACCAAGCUGGAGUACGGUAGGGGCAGAGGGAAUUUCCGGUGGAGCGAUGAAAUGCGUUGAGAUCGGAAAGAACACCAACGGUGAAAGCACUCUGCUGGGCCGACACUGACACUGAGAGACGAAAGUUAGGGGAGAAAAUGGGAUUAGAUACCCCUGUAGUCCCUGUCUCUUAUAC
rnacentral:rRNA from 1 species